rnacentral:misc_RNA from 1 species
GAAAUGCGAUAAGUAAUGUGAAUUGCAGAAUUCAGUGAAUCAUCGAAUCUUUGAACGCACAUUGCGCCCCUCGGCAUUCCGGGGGGCAUGCCUGUUCGAGCGUCAUUACAACCAUCAAGCACCAGCUUGGCGAUGGGCUUCGCCCCCGGCCUCGGCCAGGGCGUGCCCCAAAAGAGUCGGCGGGACCUCGCGUUCGCCGGGCGUAUCAGAAAGGGGGAGACCCCAGACGUCCAGCAACCGCGGGCCUCGGCCGUGAAACCGGGCACUCGUGCCCACUCUAAAGGUUGACCUCGGAUCAGGUAGGGAUACCCGCUGAACUUAA